UGCAUCUGAGGCCAGUGAGGAUGAGAACCUCCGGGGGCAGGAGGUUCGACUCGAGCGAAGCGAGAGAACGUUGCGUCAGCAACGGCC
rnacentral:sRNA from 1 species